rnacentral:rRNA from 1 species
UAUGGUGUGUGCCAGCAGCCGCGGUAAUCCGGAGGAUCCGAGCGUUAUCCGGAUUUAUUGGGUUUAAAGGGAGCGUCGGCGGAUUGUUAAGUCAGUUGUGAAAGUUUGCGGCUCAACCGUAAAAUUGCAGUUGAUACUGGCAGUCUUGAGUGCAGUAGAGGUGGGCGGAAUUCGUGGUGUAGCGGUGAAAUGCUUAGAUAUCACGAAGAACUCCGAUUGCGAAGGCAGCUCACUGGAGUGUAACUGACGCUGAUGCUCGAAAGUGUGGGUAUCAAACAGG